UAAAUUGUAAACUGCAGUAAAAC
rnacentral:piRNA from 1 species